CUACGGGGCGCACCAGUGAGGAAUAUUGCACAAUGUGGGGAACCCUGAUGCAGCAACGCCGCGUGGAGGAUGACGCAUUUCGGUGUGUAAACUCCUUUUAUAUGUCAAGAAAAUGACGGUAGCAUAUGAAUAAGCACCGGCUAACUCCGUGCCAGCAGCCGCGGUAAUACGGAGGGUGCAAACGUUACUCGGAAUCACUGGGCGUAAAGGACGCGUAGGCGGGUUGGAAAGUCAGGUGUGAAAUCCUACAGCUUAACUGUAGAACUGCAUUUGAAACUUCUAAUCUAGAGUAUGGGAGGGGGAGAUGGAAUUAGUGGUGUAGGGGUAAAAUCCGUAGAUAUCACUAGGAAUACCUAAAGCGAAGGCGAUCUCCUGGAACAUUACUGACGCUAAGGCGUGAAAGCGUGGGGAGCAAACAGGAUUAGAUACCCCUGUAGUC
rnacentral:rRNA from 1 species